UUUUCCCUGUUGCCAUUAAUAAGAUAAAUGUUGUCAUAACUAAAACAAACCCUCAAUGCCAACAUUUUGUGCGAUGUUACCUUAGAGAUGUGUUAAAAUUAAUAGGAGGGAAACAACACGCCUUUUUAACUCUGAAUUUUUUAAAAAUAAAUUAAGCAACCGCCCAUCCCAUCACUCCCACAGAUAAAACAUAACAAUAAAAUUAAAACUAAAACCAAUUCUUUCUCUCGGCUCACUCUCGCUCUCUCUCUAUCUGUCUCGCAUCUCUCACUAUCUGUCUCGCAUCUCUCGCAUUUCACAUCUCUCCCAUCUCAUUCUUUCAUUCCUUUCAUCUCUCUCAUCUCACUCUUUCAUCUCUCGAAGCUUGUCUCGGAGCUUAUAUCGCUGCUUAUACAAGGAAAGGGUCCGACAUUUAAAUACAAGAAGCUUAUCUCGGUGUUUUAGCUCUUGUCUUGGAGCUCAGUAACUUUCUUCUCGUAGCUUGAAUUUGGUCCGACUAUAACAUUAUAUGGAGAUUACCACGUAUCACGUGGUACAGGAGCUGAUAGAGAAGUGGACGCAACCCCUCAAAAGUUUAGAAAGCUACUUAUAUUCUCCAGAAAUGAUUACUUGGAUUUGAAUUUACAUCCUUCACUAGGUAAGGCGUCUGCAAAGGCUGCAGAGGAACAUGAAAUGGCGACAAGAGGUUCUACUCUGAUCUGUGGUUAUACAAAUUAUCAUAGGCGACUUGAGACUUUCCUAGGAGAACUGAAGAAAAAGAGGUCUCAGUUUAAGUGUCUUCCAUAAUUUUACUUGACAUAUGAAUGGGGUUAAUAGUUUAUAUGCUAAAAUUGAUGUGUUAAUUGUGUAUGAAUAUGCUAAACAAGAUAUCAUGCUCUAAUGCUCCCACUAUCAUCAUGUACGUAUACAACUGUACUCUGAGAGUAUAUUUUCUAAUAUGCUUCUUCUCUGCACAAGGUUACACACAAUUUGUAGUGCACUUAACAAUGGUAAUUUUGACGAUAAGCAACAGACUGAAUAUCUUAUUUUUAAGGUCUACAAGAAUUUAAUGAACAAAGAGCUUAGGUAAUUACUAAUAUCUUCAUUUUCACACAAGCAAACCUUUCUUUGUUUUUUUUCUAAUAAUUAACUUGAAAUUUUACUUAAUUUUAUUGUUAAAUAGGGAUAUACAAGAGACUUAUCUUCUCUUGGUCAUGAAGGAUGAAGACAUACUAAAAGUUCUUCGAUUGUUUGAAGGAGCCACUGAAAGAAAAAAUAUUAGUGAAGUAUCUUUAAGGAAGUGGAUGGUACUAUAAUGAUUUAUUCUUGCUCUGUUUCACAUUUUCAGAUUGAUAUGUAUCGCCCAUGCAUCAAUACCAGUAUCCUCGCCAUAUCCACGAAUUGCACGCUAUACACAAAGUGGAAUUUGAUUAGAGUUUUUAAUCUUAAGAGCAUAAUAUGCCUGUUUUACAGGUAGAGAAAACUCAUGGUUCUUCUCUUAAAUAAUACUAGCAUGUCAUACAUCAUUUGAAGAAAAUUAUCUUCGUGAACCUAUCCUUCCUGGUUGCUCUUGUCUGGUGCCUUUUGAUGGGCAACAGAACAUCCAAAUAUUUAAGGUACUAGCAUAUAUGUUUGGCGAUUAUCGGAAUAUCAUUUGUGAAGGAAUCAUGCAAGCUAUUGUGAUGCACCCGUUUGACUUAGGC